rnacentral:rRNA from 1 species
UACGAAGGGGGCUAGCGUUGCUCGGAAUUACUGGGCGUAAAGCGCGUGUAGGCGGCAGCGCAAGUCGGGCGUGAAAUCCCACGGCUCAACCGUGGAAGUGCACUCGAAACUGCGCAGCUAGAGUCCUGGAGAGGAAGGUGGAAUGCUUGGUGUAGGAGGUGAAAUUCGUAGAUAUCAAGCGGAACACCGGUGGCGAAGGCGACCUUCUGGACAGUGACUGACGCUGAGACGCGAAAGCGUGGGGAGCGAACAGG